GUGUUGGGACAUGGCUAAUAGAGAAGGGGCAUGGCUCUAUUGAUCCGUUGUAUCAGGAGAAUUUUGUUCUAAGUUAGCAUGAGUAGGCCUCAGUUAGCAUGAGUCUGGUGCAGUAUAAGUGGAAAAGUACUGAGCGGUCGCUCUCUGGUUAGCUGAGCGUCUAAGAUAAACAAGCUGGGGAAUUAUCUCUAGCAGGGUGAGAAGGUUGCAUUCCAGAGAAACCACAAGAAGGUUGAGCUCAUUAUGUAUACUAUCCAAUUAAUAGAAGACGAGUAGGCAUAAUUAUUGUAUACUAUCCAAUUGAUAGAAGACGAGUAGGCAUAAUUAUUGUAUGCUAUCCAAUUAAUAGAUGACAAGUAGGCAUAAUUACUGUAAGUCUUAUAUAAACCAGCUUAGUGUCUCAAUAAAGCGAGGUAUGCUUAUCACUCAUAUUGGGUCGACCGCAUUCCUUCCUCCGUCCGCUCGGGUUUGGAACUCUGAUGGAAUUUUUCUCUCGGCAAUUGGCGCCCGAACCGGCGAUCCGAAGCGGCGGAUAGAAGCAAAAGGCGCCGGGAGAGCAGCGACCGGCGGGCAAGAGCGACCGAACACUGUGCUGCGGUGUGUCGUCUCCGAAGCCUGAACCGACUGAAGUUCGCCAGUGCUGGGCUACAGGAAACAAGGGCUGCAAGAGGUCUCUUAAUUUAGCAAGAGGGCCAAGAUGGAUACCUGCAAAAUGGACUCGGCCAACAUUAAAGGACUGAUGGUGUUUAUUUUGACUGUCAUUGGUGCAACAGCUGUUCCGCAUUUGUUGAUGAAGCAACAGAACAUUUGGUUAACUUGGGCCAAUAAGACGCACAAUCCUAAUUUCUGUCUGAGUCUCGCUUCAGCUCAAGAGCCAUUCAAGACGUGUCUAAUUGGAAUACCUUUAUCAGUCAAUGAAUCUAUUGAGAUGCUUACAGGACUGUAUAAUGUGUCUGUUUGGAACAACUGUAACUGUACGGGGGAACCUGAUGCUUGUUUAGCUCAUUUACCCUUUAAUAAUGCAUCUUGUCGAUUAGCUUUCCAAUCGCUAGGUGGUGGGCCUCGCUAGGUUUUCCUUCAUGGCUGUUGUCAUUCUUUAAACCAGUAUUGGUAGGAAUUGCCUUUAUUUUGCUUAUAUUGCUUAUUGGUAUGUGUUGCCUUUCAUGUAUUAGGCAAUUAUGUUUAAAGAUAAUUGAUGCUACUUUUUGCAAGGAAGUGUUAUUAGCCCAAAGAGAAAAAGGGGGAAUUGUUGGGACAUGGCUAAUAGAGAAGGGGCAUGGCUCUAUUGAUCCGUUGUAUCAGGAGAAUUUUGUUCUAAGUUAGCAUGAGUAGGCCUCAGUUAGCAUGAGUCUGGUGCAGUAUAAGUGGAAAAGUACUGAGCGGUCGCUCUCUGGUUAGCUGAGCGUCUAAGAUAAACAAGCUGGGGAAUUAUCUCUAGCAGGGUGAGAAGGUUGCAUUCCAGAGAAACCACAAGAAGGUUGAGCUCAUUAUGUAUACUAUCCAAUUAAUAGAAGAUGAGUAGGCAUAAUUAUUGUAUACUAUCCAAUUAAUAGAAGACGAGUAGGCAUAAUUAUUGUAUGCUAUCCAAUUAAUAGAUGACAAGUAGGCAUAAUUACUGUAAGUCUUAUAUAAACCAGCUUAGUGUCUCAAUAAAGCGAGGUAUGCUUAUCACUCAUA